rnacentral:rRNA from 1 species
GAAUCAUUCACAAUGGGCGAAAGCCUGAUGGUGUGACGCCGCGUGGAGGAUGACGGUCUUCGGAUUGUAAACUCCUGUCAUGUGAGAGUAAGUUUCAGGGAGUAACUGCCCGUGAAAUUGAGAGUAUCACAAGAGGAAGAGGCGGCUAACUCUGUGCCAGCAGCCGCGGUAAUACAGCGGCCUCAAGCGGUGUUCGGAAUCACUGGGCGUAAAGGGUGCGUAGGCGGCGCGGAAAGUCAGGGGUGAAAUCCCGGAGCUCAACUCCGGAACUGCCUUUGAUACUCCCGCGCUUGAGAACUGGAGGGGAGAUCGGAAUUCACGGUGGAGCAGUGAAAUGCGUGGAUAUCGUGAGGAACACUAGUGGCGAAGGCGGAUCUCUGGACAGUAUCUGACGCUGAGGCACGAAGGCCAGGGGAGCGAACGGG